rfam:Chryseobacterium solincola strain DSM 22468 contig03, whole genome shotgun sequence.
UUGUAGACCGGAUGGAAACGGCAUCCUUUUUAUUUUUGCAAAAAAAUAAAAAGAUACAGUGGACAGCCGGAACCCGU